GCUUUUUAGGGCUGCACCUGAGGCAUAUGGAGGUUCCCAGGCCAGGGGUGGAACUGGAGCUGUAGCUGCCGGCCUACACCAUAGCCACAGCAAUGCGGGAUCCAAACUGCAUAUGUGACCUACACCACAGCUCACGGCAACACCAGAUCCCUAACCCACUGAUGGAGGACAGGUAUUGAACUCGUGUCCUUAUGGAUACUAGUCAGAUUCCCAGCCACCUAUCUACAUAUACUUCAAGACAGAAAUAACAAUAGGCACAAGGCAAAUAACUGGUACUUGUCUUCUGUGAACUUGUUAAGCAAACGGUAAUAACAGGAUCAAAAGAGGGGGCUGGGCCCUGCUUGGACAAAAGACCAAGAGGGCACAUACUCCCCAUCCUCAGAGUCAGGGAGACCCCUCUGGGUCAGAAAGGGAAAGGAGUACCAGGCUAUAAUUAGUUUAGAUAACCUCAUCAUGCCUUGCUUUGGAAUCCAUCUUUCCAAAAGAUGCACACCCAGAUCAGGGGAGGGCCCUGGGUCUGAUCAGGUGUGAAAGAUAAAAAAAGAUAAUUGGGCAAAGGCAGAACUGCCCCAUAUAAGUGGUUUAAAUCACCUCUCUGGCAAGCUCCUCAUUCAGGGACAGCCACACCCUCACUCUUUGGGUGUGUAUUAUAACUUUACCUCUGCCUGAGAUAAACAAAUUAAUUCUCAGAGUUUCUACUGUGGCACAGCAGAACGAAUCCUGACUAGUAUCCUUGAGGAUAUGGGUUGGAUUCAUGGCCUUGCUCAGUGGGUGGGGGAGCUGGUGUUGCCUUGAGCUGCAGUCUAGGUCACAGAUGAGGCUUGGAUCCUGCGUUUGUGGUGUAGUCUGGCACCUAUAGCUCUGAAUCAACCCCAGCCUGGGAACUUCCAUGUGCUGCCAGUGUGGCCUUAAAAAAAAAAAAAAAAAAAAAAAAAAAAUUCUGUGUGCUCUCCCACAUGUUGUACUGUUUCCAACAAUAAACUUUAUACCUUUAAAAUUUCUGCUUUCAACAAGGAGCAAGAAUCAGGGCAAUUCUGCUUUCAGCCUCUGCUAGUCUAGUGGCUGGGAUUCCCGGUUUUCAUCCAGGCUGCCCAGGUUCAAUUCCUGAGCGGAGAAUUAAAGAUUUUGCUCCAAGCCGUCACUCACUGCUGUCUCCAUGAGAUCAAAAGUACUUCUCUAAAAGAUCAAUACGAUAAUCUCUGAUCUAGGAACUCUGGCAUUGAAAGCCUGAAUAACACGAGGUAAUGCUGUCGUCACCCAGAGACAACAAGAAUAGAACCCAAAUCCCUGGACUCCCAGCUUGUGUUUUCCACUAAUUGCACUCCUUUCUACUCAUCCAAGACCGUCAAGUGUGAAAGGGUGGAGAAGGGAGUGAACACAGAUGCGCCAGGGCCUGGAGGUGGAGACCCAACUGAAGGCCCUCAGGAAUCCCUCUUGGGCACCUGCCUUUUGUUUCAGCUGAGGACGAUGAAAGCGGCAGCAACCACGAACCCCCGGGACCAAGAACUGGAACUAGGUACUGCCCAUGCUGCUAUCUCUUCCUCAUUUAAGCCUUUCCUCUUUCACCUCUCCCCUACGGCCAGCCCUAACAUGCUCUCCUCACCCUCAGCUCCACCAUGCACUUGAGUCCCCGCUUUCCUCUAACAAGAAGCGGCUGCAUGGCACCUGCUCUCCAGCUGGCCCUGCAUCCAGUCCUUAGGCGGGAUGUUCGGAGGGAUCCUAGCCCCACAAGCGUUCUGCCUAGAAAAUGAAUGCUCAUCAAGCGUUAGAAAUGGGUGGGAAUCAGGGCUGAUACUCAAGUCAGCUCUGCGUGGAUCUCUGCAGUUCUUCACGACAAAGCAAAAUGUAGACAGUAAGCAUAGAGCCUUUCUUGCUUUGCUGAGAGCCUCACACAGCUCCACCUUCCCCCGGGCAUCCUCCCACUGGAGAACGCCUUGCGCAGAGCUCGUGUUUACAGUUUUCCUGGCCGUGGGGGAGGAGACCUCCGCUCGCGGACUCAGGGGGAUUCCAAACCGUUACUCCGCCCGCCGGGGGGGGGCCAGCCUAACGGCCGAGCCUGCGCAGGGGGCACGGCCGGCUCCGGUGUCGCGGCGCANNNNNNNNNNNNNNNNNNNNNNNNNNGUGCGGCGCGGGCGCCCCCUUUCCCUGCCGCGAGCUUAGUUCUGUGGCUACUGCUGCUCCCCUCCUCCUAGGUUCCGGUCGGUCUCCAUUCCACAGUUAAAGGCUACUCCCUCUUGAAGCACAUGAGAGGAAGCUUUAGCAGUCUCGACAGUGAAGCCUUUCGCGUACUCCCUCUUUCUCUCUCGCUCUGCCUGAACUAUGCCUGACUCUCUCACCGGAGUCGGCUAGCCAAGGAGAGAGGAAGACGUCUUUAAGGGCCCCAGCCUGGGCGAGCU
ensembl:lncRNA